rnacentral:rRNA from 1 species
AUUGAACGCUGGCGGCAGGCCUAACACAUGCAAGUCGAGCGGUAACAGGAAAUAGCUUGCUAUUUUGCUGACGAGCGGCGGACGGGUGAGUAACGCGUAGGAAUUUGCCCAGUAGUGGGGGAUAGCCCGGAGAAAUUCGGAUUAAUACCGCAUACGCCCUAAGGGGGAAAGCAGGGGAUCUUCGGACCUUGCGCUAUUGGAUAAGCCUGCGUGAGAUUAGCUAGUUGGUGAGGUAAGGGCUCACCAAGGCGACGAUCUCUAGCUGGUCUGAGAGGAUGAUCAGCCACACUGGAACUGAGACACGGUCCAGACUCCUACGGGAGGCAGCAGUGGGGAAUAUUGCACAAUGGGCGAAAGCCUGAUGCAGCCAUGCCGCGUGUGUGAAGAAGGCUCUAGGGUUGUAAAGCACUUUCAGUAGGGAGGAAAGUCGAUAGUUAAUACCUAUCGGCCGUGACGUUACCUACAGAAGAAGCA